rnacentral:lncRNA from 1 species
GAAAGGCAGCAUCAUGGCCUUGGUCAUUGGCAGCAGGGCCGCCGAUGAAGACGAGCUGAAAGAGAUCGCUUUCGACUCCUCCCUGGUCUUCAUUCCUGCUGAGUUCCGCCCUGCUCCCUUACAAAGCAUGCUGCCCAGCCUGAUGGCACCCCUCAGGACCCUCACCGGAACCACAGAAGGUAUGGUGGCUGUGGUUUGCAUAUGCAGGAAGGGGCUGGUAGGCAGACACUUUGAGAAAUACCUGGUACCAUAUUGGAGGUUUAGCGGGCAGAUUGCUGUUUUCAUGGUGAAAGCAACCAUUUAGUUUUCCCCGCAGGGUUG